UCUAUGUGCAAGCACAAAGUGGACAAAAUAGUUCAGCUAGAAGACAAAAAAUCCAAUCUGCUCAUGUCAUUUGCAUUUUUCUUUCUUUUUCCUUUUUUCUUUCUUUCUUUCCUUCCCUUUUUUUUUCUUUUU
rnacentral:ribozyme from 14 species